UUCAAUACUUUUUUUUUUGUUUCCUUUUGUUCUCGUUUUCCUUCCCCAGCCGUGAGCAGAAGCCGACGACCCUUCAUUUUCGUGUUUUUGCUUUGGACUUCCCUCGCCACCGACGCCAUCAACUGUUGCUAUGGAGGACUCCAAUCUUAGACGGUCAACGCGUAGGGCACCGUGUUCACGCACAGAUGAAGAUUGAUUUAUUCGCAACGUGCAUACUUGGACGAUGUUGGGUAUUCGUCACUUUCAGUAAAGGCAAUAGUGUUGGUUUCACGUUGACUUCGUAUGUCUUGGCGUGACACAACAAACCAAGUUGAUUGUGGGGUCUUUGUGAUGCCGCAGAUGGAGAUGUACGUUGGUCAACUAACCUCUCGGUGGCAUUGUGGGUUAAAUAAGGGGGAUGUGGAGUCUUUGCAGGCAUUUAGGAUUUAUUUCAUGAAGGACAUCCUACUCUCACAUAUUAACACGCAUUAUAAGAAGAAUUUCAAUGAUUUGACCCAAUAUGUUUCCACUGUUGCUUAAUUAAUUACAUUGUGUGAUGCGUAAUGCGUUUGCUCUUUUUUUUUUUUGUCAAAACAUUAUUUACGAUGGGAUUUUACUGUUUAGUACC